GUCUACAGCCAUGCCAUCCUGAACACGCCUGAUCUCGUCUGAUCUUGGAAGCUAAGCAGGGUUGGGCCUGGUUAGUACUUGGAUGGGAGACCAUCUAGGAAUAUCGGGUGCUGCAGGCA
rnacentral:rRNA from 1 species